rnacentral:rRNA from 1 species
AGCAGCCGCGGUAAUUCCAGCUCCAAUAGCGUAUAUUAAAGUUGUUGCAGUUAAAAAGCUCGUAGUUGAAUUUCGGGGUUCUACGGUCGGUCGGGCUAACAAGUCUGUACUGGUGUGUAGAACUUCUACCUUCUGGGGAACUAUCAUGUUAUUAAUUUAGCGUGGUAGGAAACCAGGACCUUUACCUUGAAAAAAUUAGAGUGUUCAAAGCAGGCUUAAGUCUGAAUACAUUAGCAUGGAAUAAUAGAAUAGGACGGUGGUCCUGUUUUGUUGGUUUCUGAAUCACCGUAAUGAUUAAUAGGGAUAGUUGGGGGCAUUAGUAUUCAAUUGUCAGAGGUGAAAUUCUUGGAUUUAUUGAAGACUAACUUCUGCGAAAGCAUUUGCCAAGGAUGUUUUCAUUAAUCAAGAACGAAAGUUAGGGGAUCGAAGACGAUCAGAUACCGUCGUAGUCUUAACCAUAAACUAUGCCGACUAGGGAUCGGACGAUGUUAAAUUUUAUUGACUCG